GACGGAGGAGGCUAGCGUUGUCCGGAUUGACUGGGCGUAAAGCGCGUGUAGGCGGGAUCUUAAGUCGGCGGUGAAAGCCUCCUGCUUAACGGGAGGAUUGCCGCCGAAACUAAGGUUCUUGAGGGCAGGAGAGGAGAGUGGAAUUGCUGGUGUAGCGGUGAAAUGCGUAGAGAUCAGCAAGAACACCCGUGGCGAAGGCGACUCUCUGGACUGCUCCUGACGCUGAGACGCGAAAGCCAGGGGAG
rnacentral:rRNA from 1 species